AUUGUAGUAACCAGGUCUUUCUUUUUUUUGUUUUUUUUGCGAUGGAGUCUUGCUCUCUUGCCCAGGUUGGAGUGCAGUGGCCCAAUCUCAGCUCACUGCAACCUCCACCUCCAGGUUCAAGCGAUUUUUCUACCUCAGUCUCCCGAGUAGCUGGGAUUACAGGCACCUGCCACCAUGCCUGGCUAAUUUUUGUAUUUUUAGUAGAGACGGGGUUUCACCAUGUUGGCCAGGCUAGUCUCAAACUCCUGACCUCAGGUGAUCCACCUGCCUUGGCCUCCCAAGUGCUGGGAUUACAGGCAUGGGCCACUGCGCCCGGACCCAGGUCCUUCUUUAUAGCUGCCAGCCAAGGUGCUGCUCUCUGCUCCUAGAGACUGUUCUCAGUUCUGUCUCAGGGACCCCUCCAACUCAGUAACUGAAAACCAGCCUCAAGUCAAAUCUGUCUCCCACUAUGAACCUCUGAUGGCCUUUUCUAGCCAAAGAAGACUCUGCUUUCAAAGGGCUUCUGUGAUUAGGUUAGGCCCACCCAUCUCCCUAGCAUAAGGUCUGCUGAUUACUAACUUUAAUGACAUCCACAAAAUUUCUCUUGCCAUGUCACAUAAUUAUAGCAUUAACACCAGGGGGCAGAGGUCAGGAGAAUCAUCUCAGAAUUCUGCCCACCAUAGGUGCUGUGCCAAGGGACUCAGAGCACAUGUGCUGUGAACACAUUCCUUACAGGAUCACUCCCUCUGUGCCAGGUGCCACCAUGCCAGAAACAGAGGGCAGGACACAGGGACAGGUGGUGCAUUCACAAAUAAUUUGGAAACAAGCCAGAUGGUGACCAGAGCUUGCCUCUGAAUGCCCCUUGUUGGGGAUGCUAUACAGAAAGCCCAGGAUUUUUAGCUGAACCAACAAGGAGGCUUUGAAAAGGUGACAUCUGAGCUGGGUUGUGAUACACGUAAAAUUUCAAGAAGCAAAGAAAGGGCUGGAACUGAGGGUAAAGAAGGGCUAUCUGCUCAAGGCACACAUUGAUUACGAAAGGAUACAUCAGUAUUAUGUUAACAAUGAACAUAAUUGUAAGCUUUUGUAUAAACCAGCCUGUUAAGGAUUACCAACAGAAUAAAUGUUAGCAUAUUUUGAACACCUACCAAAUGCCAGGCACUAUGUAUACUAGGUACACUAGGUAUAUUGUAUUCCUAGCUUAUUUAAUCUUCAAAGAACCCUACAUGGUAGAACUUUUUCUUCUUACAACUUUUUUGAAAUAUAAUUUGCAUACUAGAAAAAUCACUCAUUUAAAGUGUACAAUUUAAUGGCUUUCAGUAAAUUCACAGAGUUGUUCAUCUAUCACUACUAAAAUCGAAUCUAUCUUAGAACAGUUUUAUUACCCUCAGAAGAAAUUCUACGCCCCUUAACCAUGACACCCUAAUUACUCCCUGGCUUCCAGUCCUAGGCAAUCACUAAUCUAACUUCUGAGUGUGGAUUUGCACAUUCUAAACAUUUUAUAUAAAUGAAAACAUAGAAAAUGUGACCUUUUGUGUCUGGCUUUCACAUAAUAUGCUACGUGAAAGGUACAUCCAUGUCUUAACAUGUGUUGGUACUUCAUUCCUUUUUAUUGCUGAAUAAUAUUCCAUUGUAUGGAUAUACCACAUUUUGCUUAAUUAUUCAUUAAUUGACAGACAUUUGACUUGUUUCUACUUUUGGCCAUUAUGAAUACUGCAGCUAUGAACACUCACAUACAAGUUUUUGUGUGGAUGUAUGCUUUCAUUUUCCCUGGGUAUGUAACCUAAGGAUGAACUUGCAGGAUCAUAUAGUUAAUUCUACAUUUAACUGAUUGAGGAUAAGAUAGGAAUUUGUAUCUUCACUUUAGGAUUGAGAAAGCUGAGGCUCAAAGAAGUUAAAAUAGCUGCCCAAGAUUAUAGAACAGAGAAGAUUGAAACACAUAUUCAUCAUACAUCAAAGCUCUAGACUUCCAUGGCUCUACAUACAUACAAAAUAAGACAGAGGUCUCUUUUAACAAGUCUCAUCUUAAAAUAUACAUUUCUCAAGAGCAGAAAUUUUUGUCUGUUUUAUCUC
rnacentral:lncRNA from 1 species